UCAAACUUGGUCAUUUAGAGGAAGUAAAAGUCGUAACAAGGUUUCCGUAGGUGAACCUGCGGAAGGAUCAUUCACAAUUCUGGCGCCCCGCUCCUGUCAAACAGGCGCGGGCGGGGUUGCCAACAUUACAUCCACAGCCAACCUGUUGCACUUUGCAGAGAAACGUGGGUUUUGAGCUUGUGUGGUGGUGGUGGUGCGUGCUGUUGCGUGUUUAACGCGCAACAUCACCGCCCUGCCCUCGCAGGCCGGCCCACUCUUUUCAUUGUAACCAUGCAAUCAGAAACUACUAAACACCAACAACAACACAACAAAACACAACUUUCAACAGCGGAUCUCUUGGCUCUCGCAUCGAUGAAGAACGCAGC
rnacentral:misc_RNA from 1 species